UAUGUUAUGCCAUCACUUGUUCCAUGUUUCUGUACUGCUCUUAUUAAACUUGGAUAUCGUUUAAAAAGCCCUAGCAUCUCUAUGCUUCUGCCAUACGUUUUAUGCUUUUAUAUUUGCUCAUGUUUGGCCUUGAUUUGGAUCUUGAUGUCAUGCUGGCAUCAAUUGCUGGUAUAGUUGUAGUUUCUUCUCUCAUUGAAGAAAGCAUACUAAAGAGUAUAGUAAAAUUAACAAAAAACAUCUAUGUAAGUACCCUUGUUUUUGUUCAUGUAUUUGCAUGUGUAAUUGGUUUUCUAGUGUUCAGGACUUAAAGCUACAUAAUUAGUUUGACUUGGAGAUGUUUCCUUCUUCCCUUUUUCAAUGCUAAAACAUGAGUUGAUUGUAGAAGCAUUAGCUUUGGUUAUUCACAUGUAAGCUGAUUGGUGGGUCAAUGUCUAAUUUGAUUUAAGUUCAGAAGUGGUGGUCGUCAACAACAACGUUAUGAUGCUUGGGGUUGUUUACGGCAUUGGAUUUUUGUACCAUAAAGUUGAGACCUUAGCUGACGAUGCCUCUUUUUUUACGUACUAAAGUUUUAUCCUUCUUUUUGAAUUUUUAGUGUUUUUUGAUAGAAGAACCUAACCCAAACCAUUUGUGAAACUUUCAAUCAGUUGAAUACCCAACUUUUCUGGGAACUCCUCACCCUUAAACCAAUCUUUUGUAUAGAAGACCCUACUUUUAUGGGAGAUUUGGUGAAGUUCGUUCUUUUAACCAGCCAAGUUUUACAUUCACCCAUCUCUUUAGGGAGUACAGUUCCUUUCUCCUGGUGAUAUACCAUUUGAUGUCAAGAACUUUUGUAAAAGAGAAACUUUUCAGUUUUGCUUAAAAACAUUUUGAAAGUGUUUUCUCACACAAUGAUGUGCCUUGCUUUAUUCUUAGUACCUUUCCAAGUGGAAGGUGGAAAUUUCAAAUUUUUGUUGUCCAUCAAUGGAAGAGGAAAAUCGAACAAAUCCGGAUAUGAGCAGUGAAGAAAAAUCCUAUGAAGUUGAGAAAGUCAAGACUAGGAAAUGCUAUUGACUCUAGCGAUUAAGCAUUUGCAAGGAUUUAGCAGGAAAAUAUAUUGAGGGAGAAGCCAAAAUGCUCUAUAAGAUCUUGGCAGGUAGUAAAAUGAGAGUUGAGAGAUGGGCUCGGAGCUUGUGUAGUCGUUCCUCUGAGUUAGUAAUCGAGAGUACCGGGUAGACAUAAAGGUGAUUUAUGUCUAUUUCGCGAAGAUAAUGAUUUACGAACUUUUGGUUCGUUGAAAACCCGUAAGGUGAAGCGGGUUGGACACGUGACAAAACUACACAUAACUACCAAAGUGGUGGAGCUUCGUAGUAGCCUUUGGGGUGGUGAGGUAUUCCCUCAAAGGUGAAGGUCAGCCCAAAAAAAAAAAAAAAAAGAAAAGCAUAAGAAAAAAAAUUGAAAGGCAAAAAGUUGAAUGCAAAAGAAAAAAAAUGAAGAAAAAAGCAAAAGGUGCUUGCCAAGAGAUGAAAGACAUGAAGGCUGAACUCGCAAGAAUUGAAUGCGACAAUCUUUCGUGGAUGUACGAUUUUGGGGUUAAUAUCUGCUCCUUGUUUUGAUUAUCUAGGAUGUCGAGGAUGGUUCCUUUUUGUUCAUAUUCUGGAAAUUGAAGGACAUUCCUUUUAAAGAUUCGACAACAUUGAUGCGAAAUAAAACCAAAUGCUUGUAUGGUACUAACGGUACAUGAAAGCUAUAUUAUUUUCACAACACGAGCACUCAAGUUUAUGAGUUGAAUUGAUUAUUUUUGAACUAUUUCAAAAUUCAAUGUAAAAACUUGACGUAUCUUGUAUGCUUCCAGGAUUCCUAGGCAUAGCAAUAACUAACCAAUCCCCUUUAGUCUUGAAAAUGUUUGACCAUUUUGUUACCAAAUUGUUAGUCCUUCUGUGAAAUAGAUGAAACCCCUCAAACCUAGUUCAACCAUGCUGAGCAUGAUGAAUUAUCCAUCAUUUCCUUUUGUCUUUGGAGAGGUAGACCAUUUGGGACAAGUGAUUAAGCUGACUCUAGAUGAUAUUUUUGAAAAGUUCUAUCGAAGUUGCAUAGUAUAUGUCCACCUAAUCUUGUUUUUGUGAGUUGUAUAAAUUUCAUCUGUUUGAUCUUUAUCCUUUGUUUCAUUCUAGCUGCUGUUAAAAUCUUUUAUGUAGUAUAGCUUUGUAAUAAAAGGAUCAGUUGAGGCAUUCAGCCCUUUGGUUUGUGCCCCCUCCCUCUUUCCCCACCUUACUAAUUUCUCGCUCCACCCAUGUUCGUAUCCAUGCAUUUUUAUGUCAUCAAUCUAGGGCUUGAAUUUUUUUUAUUCCUCUAGCUUGGGUUGUCCCUUUAUUGAAUUGUCUUUUGGUUGUCUUUUAUUUCCAAGAGGCCUCUACAUGGUGGAGGCUUGAUUUCUCAUUUUGGAUUUGAGACUGACUACAUAAAUUUUAUAUGAGGUAAAUGGUUCCAGCUUGGUGUAUUUAGACAAUGCAGCUACAUCUCAAAAGCCAUAUGCUGUUUUGGAAGUUCUUCAUGAUUAUGUGAGGGCUACAGCUCAAAUGGUCACCACAAUAUUCAUUAUUUAAGCAUGAACAUAAACCAUGAGAAGAGAAUUCGUUUUGUUGAUACUCUAGCCAUCUAGAAUCUGCAAUACAACAUCAGAUUGGCAGACGUACACGCAAGGGUGCGCUUCCACAGGAAAUCAAAGCUUGAGAGAUUUUGGCAAAUAGUGGCAAUGUUUAAAGCCACAUUUGAUGUGCUCUCUCUCCCCAUCUACCACAGGUGAUCAGGCAGACCUUUUGGAGUGUUGGUGUCAUUCGGUUUCAACUUAUAACAUAAAGGCCUCCUUUUCUAGGAGCAACCAGGAAUAGGAAGCGCGUGCUUUAUUGGGAUGGCUGAGUACCAGAGGUAACUAUGCUGCUCCUCUCCAGGUGUUCCGUGGGAUUGAUAUACAGAGUUUGAUACCCAAGAUGACUAAAUCUAUAGCUGAUAGGGUCCAGCGUCAAAAAGCUCGAUUUAAAAGCCAGAAGGUGCAAAAAAAAUACAAUGUCUAUGCAUUCUGUGAGUCUCUUGCUUGAAGCUAUCUUACUUAAAGCAAGAUCACUGGAACAGCUUGGUUUAAGAAAAGUCAAGUUUUCUGAAAGCAGACAGAACUUGAUCAAGAACUUUGAACAUUCUCUUUCCUUGGUUGAUUGGAACUAUUAUCCAAUUACACAGUUUAUACAGCAGUAACAGCACUAUAACACCAAGGGAAUAAUGUUGGGACUGUCAUUGACAGAUCUCACAGAACCAAGAAGAUUCCUCAACGUUGACAGGCCGUUGUUAUUAUGUCACAGACAUCACAGAAUAUGAAAAAACAGACUGUGAUACUGAAACUUGUGAUUCUCAAUGACAUGCGUGAUCUCCAUAUGCUGAUGAAGCACAGGUUGUGAUUCUUUAGCCCUUUGAAAGGCAAAAGAAUAAUGGUUUUACAGCUUUUUGGGCAAGAGGAUGAUAGUGGCUACAUGGUGGUUCUGUUGGUUUCGCUUUUCUUUUCCAUUAUUGUUUUUAAUGUUGUAGAAUCAUCCUAUUAAGUGUUUGGUGUGUGGUCACACCAUGAUGAAGACUAUUCUAGGAGGCGAAUUAUUAAAAAAUUACUUGCAAGCAGCGGGAAACUUGUAAAAGCACGUAGGCAGUAGUCAGGACAAGAAAUGCCUGUGGGGACAAAUUACUGCCAAAAAGAAAUUAAAAUGUGUUCAUUUUGUUUUAAGAAGGAUUUCAAGUUCUUUUAUCUUCA